GAUGAACGCUAGCUACAGGCUUAACACAUGCAAGUCGAGGGGUAACGAGAGGGAAGCUUGCUUUCCUUGUCGACGACCGGCGCACGGGUGAGUAACGCGUAUCCAACCUGCCCCCAACUAGGGAAUAACCUUGCGAAAGUAAGACUAAUACCCUAUAAUUUCCUCAGAUGUCAUCUGACGAGGAAUAAAGAUUUAUCGGUUGUGGAUGGGGAUGCGUCUGAUUAGCUUGUUGGCGGGGUAACGGCCCACCAAGGCAACGAUCAGUAGGGGUUCUGAGAGGAAGGUCCCCCACAUUGGAACUGAGACACGGUCCAAACUCCUACGGGAGGCAGCAGUGAGGAAUAUUGGUCAAUGGGCGGAAGCCUGAACCAGCCAAGUAGCGUGCAGGAUGACGGACCUAUGGGUUGUAAACUGCUUUUAUACAGGAAUAAAGUUAGCCACGUGUGGUUAUUUGUAGGUACUGUAUGAAUAAGGACCGACUAAUUCCGUGCCAGCAGCCGCAGUAA
rnacentral:rRNA from 1 species